GCAUAUCAAUAAGCGGAGGAAAAAGAAACCAACAGGGAUUGCCUCAGUAACGGCGAGUGAAGCGGCAAGAGCUCAAAUUUGAAAGCUGGCCCCCUCGGGGUCCGCGUUGUAAUUUGCAGAGGAUGCUUCGGGUGCAGCCCCCGUCUAAGUGCCCUGGAACGGGCCGUCAUAGAGGGUGAGAAUCCCGUCUGGGACGGGGUGUCUGCGUCCGUGUGAAGCUCCUUCGACGAGUCGAGUUGUUUGGGAAUGCAGCUCUAAAUGGGUGGUAAAUUUCAUCUAAAGCUAAAUACUGGCCGGAGACCGAUAGCGCACAAGUAGAGUGAUCGAAAGAUGAAAAGCACUUUGAAAAGAGAGUUAAACAGCACGUGAAAUUGUUGAAAGGGAAGCGUUUGCGACCAGACUCGCCCGCGGGGUUCAGCCGGCAUUCGUGCCGGUGUACUUCCCCGUGGGCGGGCCAGCGUCGGUUUGGGCGGCCGGUCAAAGGCCCUCGGAAUGUAUCACCCCUCGGGGUGUCUUAUAGCCGAGGGUGCAAUGCGGCCUGCCUGGACCGAGGAACGCGCUUCGGCUCGGACGCUGGCGUAAUGGUCGUAAAUGACCCGUCUUGAAACACGGACCAAGGAGUCUAACAUCUACGCGAGUGUUCGGGUGUCAAACCCGUACGCGCAGUGAAAGCGAACGGAGGUGGGAGCCCCCUCGUGGGGCGCACCAUCGACCGAUCCUGAUGUCUUCGGAUGGAUUUGAGUACGAGCGUAGCUGUGGGGACCCGAAAGAUGGUGAACUAUGCCUGAAUAGGGCGAAGCCAGAGGAAACUCUGGUGGAGGCUCGCAGCGGUUCUGACGUGCAAAUCGAUCGUCAAAUUUGGGUAUAGGGGCGAAAGACUAAUCGAACCAUCUAGUAGCUGGUUCCUGCCGAAGUU
rnacentral:rRNA from 1 species